rnacentral:rRNA from 1 species
AUGAUCCUGAGUGACAAAGCUAGCGAACUGGUGGGAAAGAAGAAUGAUCUGGAGGCUUAUCCGGGAGGACUCGCCAAGAAGCUAUUCCUCAUGCUUGAAGGUAACCCUUUGUAUCUGACAUGCUUUUUAAUUUUGGCCUCGCCACCAAACUGCUGCCUUAACUUUGGGGUUGUGUCUACAGAGUUCUGCCAGAACUUUGAGGAGGAGACUGGUCGACUGGAGACGAGCCUAGAUCCCAUCAACUCUCCUGUGAAGGAUGAAACUGCCGUGAACGUGCUCCAACUCGAGUCUCGCGUUGCUGCCGUUGUUGACUAUCUUGCAAGGAUGAAGGUUGCGACGUCACGCAUCGACACGGCGCUCUGGCCAGGAGAAGCACUUCAGAAUGACCUUCAGUCCCUGAUGACUCGACUGAACGAAGUUCCAAGUCGAGUGCAAGAAUGGAAGAAGACUUCUGCCAGGUGCGGUGCCGACGUUGCUCUAUCUCUGGUCCGUGUUCACUGCAAGGAUGCGCGAGAGGACAAGCUGGCAGCUCUCAAGGUGGCCAAUACCAAGAAGCAUGACUUCCGAUCCUUCAUGGAGACCUUCAUCGCUGCUGCCACUCGGAUCGCAGAUGGAAUCGACUUGGACGAGUUUGUUGCGCCUUCCAGCCCUCCGCAGGAGGGGUAA